GAGCAAAGUACACAGAGCUGCUUGGUGAACGUGAGGUGAGGAGACGGAGAAUCAGGGGGCAUGUUUGUGUUACCCCAGACAACAACCUGAUGAGAUGGCCGUGCUACUAUUGGACUAUGUUGGUGUCCAUGACCCAUCCUACCACCAGAGACGAUGCUGAGGUCCACGGCACUUGCUGACACAAGGGUGGAUAUCAGUGCUGUCACCAGAAACCAUGUAGAAGCCCAUGAACCUCACUCCUGUUGACUAUGAAGGACAAGGAAGCAUCUGCUGUACUGGUACUGAUGACUGAGGACUCACAUUUGAGAAACAUAGAAGACUCCUGUGAUAACCUCCCUUCCCCAUACACACACACACAUACACACACACACACACACACACACACACACACACACACACACACACACACACACACACACACACACACACC
ensembl:antisense Gm13528 predicted gene 13528